rnacentral:rRNA from 1 species
AUGGCGUUUAUGGGGCGGAUGGCGGGCAGUCGCAUUUUCUCAGAGCUGUGCGGCUCGAUCGUGAAUCUGAGGAUGUACUCCUCAAGGGUGGACUGGAAGCAGCUGCGGCCCAUGAUUCUAAAGAGGAUCAAGAACCGUACAAAGGAUUAUCCUAUCAAGCGAAUGAUCCCGGUAGCCCAGGAGGUGGUCAGGGCCAGAGAAAUUCUCACGGAAGGCGUCUCAAUACUUCUCAGAGCUGUCCCUGUACAUUCAUGCAAGUUUUGUCCUGCAAUUCAUGUUGGAGCAAUGGCACAUCAGAUGAAAACAUGUCAUGGUUUCAAACGUAUGAUCAAGGAUCGACCUCACCAAUGGGGCCCGGGCGGCUUGAAUAACAUCCUUGUCCCUGUUGAGGCCUUCCAUCAGGAAAACAUGUUUCAGGAUGAGAUAAGGCAUGACCAGAGGUUCGACUUCACUCGUGUCCCGGCUGUACUCGAGCUAUGUCAUCAGGCAGGUGCAGAGCUACCUGAAGGACUCCUAUACAGACGUGAUGAGCUAUGUACGGCAGCUGAAGCUAACAACCAAAAUCCUGCCCCUUUGCUAUCUUCUGAACUUAGAUUGGUAGGUCAAAGAACACUGGAAGCAUGGGAAAGGCUCAGAUUAGGUGUGACAAAACUCCUAUUGGUCUACCCAUCCAAAGUGUGCGAGAAUUGCUCUGAAGUGCAUGUUGGGAUAUCAGGGCAUAAGGCCAGGAUGUGUGGAGUAUUUAAGUUUGAGGGCUGGCGGGGAAAACACAAGUGGAAGAAGGCUGGAGUGGAUGACCUGGUUCCUCAAAAGAUUGUGUGGCAUCAACGGCCUCAUGACCCACCAAUUCUGGUGGACAGUGGGCGAGAUUAUUAUGGUCAUGCUCCUGCUGUUGUGGAGCUUUGUGUGCAAGUAGGUGCAAGAGCAUCACCAAAAUAUAAUUGCAUGAUGAAGGAGCAUGGCUUAGCACCACCUGUUCAAAGAGACCAGGCCACAUAA